rnacentral:rRNA from 1 species
UACAGAGGGGCGAGCGUUAUUCGGAAUUAUUGGGCGUAAAGGGCGCGUAGGCGGCUUUGCAAGUGAACGGGUGAAAGCCCUCGGCUUAACCGAGGAACUGCCUGUCAGACUGUGAGGCUUGAGACCGGGAGAGGUGAGUGGAAUUCCCAGUGUAGCGGUGAAAUGCGUAGAUAUUCGCAAGAACACCAGUGGCGAAGGCGGCUCACUGGCCCGAUACUGACGCUGAGGCACGAAAGCGUGGGGAGCAAACAGG